rnacentral:rRNA from 1 species
AGCGAACGCUGGCGGCAGGCCUAACACAUGCAAGUCGAACGAACCUUUCGGGGUUAGUGGCGGACGGGUGAGUAACACGUGGGAACGUGCCUUUAGGUUCGGAAUAACUCAGGGAAACUUGUGCUAAUACCGAAUGUGCCCUUCGGGGGAAAGAUUUAUCGCCUUUAGAGCGGCCCGUGUCUGAUUAGCUAGUUGGUUGAGGUAAUGGCUCACCAAGGCGACGAUCAGUAGCUGGUCUGAGAGGAUGAUCAGCCACAUUGGGACUGAGACACGGCCCAAACUCCUACGGGAGGCAGCAGUGGGGAAUCUUGCGCAAUGGGCGAAAGCCUGACGCAGCCAUGCCGCGUGAAUGAUGAAGGUCUUAGGAUUGUAAAAUUCUUUCACCGGGGACGAUAAUGACGGUACCCGGAGAAGAAGCCCCGGCUAACUUCGUG